GCCUGGGUGGCUCAGUCGGUUAAGCGUCUGACUUCGGCUCAGGUCAUGAUCUCACGGUUCGUGAGUUCGAGCCCCGCGUCGGGCU
rfam:Felis catus breed Abyssinian Contig263155.1, whole genome shotgun sequence. [26-MAY-2016]